CACGUAGGGCGCGAGCGUUGUCCGGAAUUAUUGGGCGUAAAGAGCUCGUAGGCGGCCUGUUGCGUCCGCUGUGAAAGCCCGGGGCUUAACCCCGGGUCUGCAGUGGAUACGGGCAGGCUAGAGGUAGGUAGGGGAGAAUGGAAUUCCCGGUGUAGCGGUGAAAUGCGCAGAUAUCGGGAGGAACACCGGUGGCGAAGGCGGUUCUCUGGACCGAUACUGACGCUGAGGCGCGAAAGCGUGGGGAGCAAACAGG
rnacentral:rRNA from 1 species